GGUGAGUAAAGCAUCGGAACGUGCCCAGUAGUGGGGGAUAGCCCGGCGAAAGCCGGAUUAAUACCGCAUACGACCUACGGGUGAAAGGGGGGGAUCGCAAGACCUCUCGCUAUUGGAGCGGCCGAUGUCAGAUUAGGUAGUUGGUGGGGUAAAGGCCUACCAAGCCGACGAUCUGUAGCUGGUCUGAGAGGACAACCAGCCACACUGGGACUGGGACACGGCCCAGACUCCUACGGGAGGCAGCAGUGGGGAAUUUUGGACAAUGGGCGAAAGCCUGAUCCAGCCAUGCCGCGUGCGGGAAGAAGGCCUUCGGGUUGUAAACCGCUUUUGUCAGGGAAGAAAUCUUCUGGGUUAAUACCUCGGGAGGAUGACGGUACCUGAAGAAUAAGCACCGGCUAACUACGUGCCAGCAGCCGCGGUAAUACGUAGGGUGCAAGCGUUAAUCGGAAUUACUGGGCGUAAAGCGUGCGCAGGCGGUUAUGUAAGACAGGUGUGAAAUCCCCGGGCUUAACCUGGGAACUGCACUUGUGACUGCAUAGCUUGAGUGCGGCAGAGGGGGAUGGAAUUCCGCGUGUAGCAGUGAAAUGCGUAGAUAUGCGGAGGAACACCGAUGGCGAAGGCAAUCCCCUGGGCCUGCACUGACGCUCAUGCACGAAAGCGUGGGGAGCAAACAGGAUUAGAUACCCUGGUAGUCCACGCCCUAAACGAUGUCAACUG
rnacentral:rRNA from 1 species